ensembl:lncRNA
AGACACUGUUCUGGAUAAGCAGCUGUUGUGUUACUUUGCUUCAGUGAUUUUUAUCAUUUAAACUUAAGAUCUAGGCUGUAUCUGUCAACAGUCUGUGACUUCCCAAAGGCUUUGUGCAGUCCUGCUGCUGCUCAUAGACUUGGAACCAUUUCAGAGCAGGUGAGGUGCAAUUACUGCGGAUGGUUUCUACUCUGGUGUACUAGAGGUGGUUGCUGUUUACAGUUGCAGUUCGAAGGAAAUCUUGCUCCUGCAGAUUUCAGGACUGUCAGGAAGGAUGAGGAGGCAGACAUUGACAGAAUCAGUUAUAUUCAGAAGGCAACCAUGCCAGAAGGUGUCAACCACACUGGAAUGCAGUGGAAGAAAAGGAGCUAAUAAUUAUAAGCACUCUCAUUAUUUAGAAAGUACACUACUCAAAAUGAAUUCAGCUUUCUGAUGACAAGUGAUUUCUCUCACCCCAAGGAGCAUUUCAAAGCAUCCACACAACCAUCUGCAUGAACCCCAGGAGGCGAAGGUAUGGGACCCUCCUUCCAGCUGUGGUGCAGUGAUCCAUCUGUCUGAGCACAUUUCCAUUUAUCCUCCAGGAAGAGAAUGCGCCACCCUCAGGCCUCCCUGAACUGUGAUUUCAGCUGCAAGAGACAGAACAAGGACUGAACAGGGAACUGGGUGAAAUAAAGUGGCUGCUAAAACUCAGGCAGCUAACAACUACAUGAAUCUAACAAUCUGGCAAGCAAGAAGGACUGGCUGACAAUCUAUCUGCAAUUUGUGCUUUAAGUGCAGUCUCUAGUUGUAUAUACUAAACCCUGGACUGAUGCCACAGUUGCAGAGCCAGAAGAGAGCAGUUGCUGCAGAUGAAGCUCCAUCCUCAUUCUGGUCAGCCACAAUCUGAAUGCAUGCAGCUCUCCACUUUCUCUCAGUGGAAUUCUUUAGCCUUUUAGAAAAUCCCACUGGUUUAUCUUCAGUCAAGAGUUUGUGCCUCUGGAGUUCCACAUCUCAACCAGAAAGAGCAUGUUUAUUUUGUUGCUGUUACAGAAAAAUAAUGAGUCCUGCAUUUUCACCAAUAGUAAGUGAAACUGAUAAUACGAACAUGAGAAAAUACUACAAAUCUGAUUCAUUAAUCUAGACGUGCUUUCGUGUUGUUUGGCGUCUGCUGCAUUUGGCACCAAAGAUGCCUCUAAUCUUUCCUUGAGGGACCAAAUCAAAGGAGAUGAGGUGGAAGUGCAGUAUUGGCUACAUGGGCCUUCCUUCUUGGAGAGGGAAUUGAGUGCUAAGUUGUUUUUAAGCCUAAGAAAAACAAACAAAAUCCUGAGUCAUGAUGCCUUUUAAGUAUCAAUGAAAUUAGUAGAAGGGAGGUUCUACUGUGUUUAUUCAGUUCUGAUAGUGAUGAUGCAUAAGCAUUGGUUUUAUAUUUCUGAGAUGAAGAUGACAGCACUGUCCGAGAUCACAACUCUGCCUGGAGAGAAUAUGAGACGAAAACCUGUGGUUUCACCGCUGUCCUUACUUCUAGAUGACCUGUAGUGAAGUGCAAGAAUGCAAAUGGAUCUGAACCGUAACGAGAGGCUGGUGUUAAAGAAUAAAUGCCUGAGCACUAGCAAGGACACACUGGGAAGUUCAACGGCAAGUAUCACAGCAGGGUGAGGGCUCCGCUGGACUGCAGUGCAAGACCACUUGAUGGCUGUGAAGAUGAUUAAAUGCUGCAGAGAUGGAGCAGCUGAUGUGUGAGGAGAGGCUGCUGAGCCUGGAAGGGGCUCUGAGGGUCCUUACUGGUGUGCCCUUACCCGGUGGAGGAAGAUGGAAUCAGACUCUUCCCCAUGGUACCCAGUGAGCAAGAGAUACAAACUGAAAUACAGAGACGUCCGUUAAGCAUAAGAAAAACGUGUGCUAACGGCCGUCCAUCC